rnacentral:rRNA from 1 species
UGAAGUGAACGGGAUUAGUUACCCCAGUAAUCUAAGCAGAAAAUGAUGAAUGUCAUAGGUUAAAUAGCAGCAGUGUUUGAUAGUAGCAAUGCAAACUGCAACACAUUUGGUCUAUAAAUGAAAGUGUAAGCAUUCCACCUCAAGAGUAAUUUGGCAACAUUGAAACUGAAAUCAUUAGACCGUUUCUGAAACCAGUAGUGAAGUAUGUUGUUUAAUUAGAUGAUACACAAAAAACCUUACCACAUUGAUUUAUAUUUGAAAAAAUAUAAUUUCAAUUAUUAUAUGAAUAAUAUCUUUAAAGAUAUAUACAAGCGCUGCACGGCUGUCUUCAGUUAAUGUCGUGAGACUGUGGUUAGUUCCAUUAAAUUAACGUAAACCCUCACUUUAUUUAUAUAUAAAGUAUUGAUCAAAAUACAAUAUG